UACGAAGGGGGCUAGCGUUGCUCGGAAUUACUGGGCGUAAAGCGCACGUAGGCGGCUUUCUAAGUCGGGGGUGAAAUCCUGGAGCUCAACUCCAGAACUGCCUUCGAUACUGGAAAGCUCGAGUCCGGGAGAGGUGAGUGAAACUGCGAGUGUAGAGGUGAAAUUCGUAGAUAUUCGCAAGAACACCAGUGGCGAAGGCGGCUCACUGGCCCGGUACUGACGCUGAGGUGCGAAAGCGUGGGGAGCAAACAGG
rnacentral:rRNA from 1 species